CAAUUAAACAAUUUAUUAUUGAGCAGUUAAUUGACAAGUUUGCACGUGUCAUGCUAUGAAAAAUUAGCUACUUUCUUGUUAUAUUUUAUAUUGUGGAUAUUUAAUAAAUGCAGCUGUAAACAAAGUUGUUGUGCACAAUACUCGCAAAACUUCGUAUAAUCGUUCAGAGGAAGCAAUUUAACAUCAUUUGAAACAUUUAACUUCGACAGGAUUUGUUUUACUUCGGUGUCCCUGACCGAAUUAUUUGUUUCCAUUGUAGCGCUUUCUCGUCGAUGACCAGUUGUCAUGUCAGAUAUAUACCAAGAAAACCAGAGACGAAGAGAGCAACUCUAUUGUCGUGAUUGUAAAGUCAGACUUCGAGAGGUUGUUUUUAUAAGCUGUCCGUUUCCGCAUCUCUUGUUCUGCAAGAACUGCUUUUUAAAUCAUGACAUUUGUCCAGUGUGUAAUACUCCAGUAAAAGCUCUUAUCAACGUGAUCAUCAAAAACAUUGACAAUCAUUAACAUAGUCGUUAGGGAAGUUAAUGUAGGUUAUCUGUACACGUCUGUGCUGCAUGUCUAAUUCAAAAUGUUAUCUUUGUUCUGUACACUUACCAUAGAUACAAAAAGUAAAUAGUACAAUACAUUUAUUUUUCAAAUAUUAGAAAAUUUCACCAUCCUAUGUUUUUAUAAUCAAUUCUUUUAGUGCCACACUCCAUCUUUGAUUUUUGCCCAAAUUUAGAUCACCCAGUUAUAUUUAGAGUAAUUAUUUCUGCAAAUGCAAAAUUAUUUUUUAUAAAAAAUAAUUAGACGGCGCAUACACGCGCCGUCUAGUAGAUAUGCAUUUGUCCGUAUAGCAAUGGGGAAAAUAUUAGACUUGAGUUUGUGCAUUUUUUUGUUUGAACAAAAUCAAAUUGUUUUCAAAUUUCCUAAUAAAAAAGCUUUUCUGAUGUACAACAUGUCACAGAGCUUUAAAGGAUUAAAAUAAACGUUUAACUGAAGUGAUAGUAUCAUAUUUGAAUAUCAUAUUCUUUUUAUAAUAAAAUGAUUUAUCUACAUAAUAAAUAACGUGCCAAUGAGCCAGUCUAUAGUGAAACCCGUUGAGACCCGCCUUUAAUCUAAUGACGGGCAGGGAACAUGAGGUAUCACUAAAUAUGCAACGGAGAUUAUUUUGGCGCUACGGACACAGCGGAAAUAUUUUUUGCAAAACAGGUAAAGCGUGUGCGGCAUGUUAUUCAUUUAAAUAAUUAACAUUUAAGUUACAAAACAGAUUAACUGAGUGAAAAAAGUACGCUUAUCUAAAACGUAUCACAAAAUAUUUGCAAUAGGUUAUUUUGUGACCGACAAUAGUGUUCUCUUUUGCCUAGACUUUUUAUAACAGUUUGUUGUCCAAUAUCUAGAUUCUAAGCGAAUAUGCAAUCUUUUAUUUAUUCAAGUAGUUUAAUCGUUUAAAAAUAAGUAAACAAUACGUAACAAACAAUUGAUUAUAUAUAACAAUUUAUUCAUAACUAUUAUUUGAUCUUACAGAAAUAUUUUCGCUAUUUGUAAAAUAACAGACAGUUCGUCCUCAAAAUCAUCGAACAUUAUGCAAAUCGCACCAAUAUUUAAAUGGACAUAUUCUCGGCACAUAUUGUCUUGAAUUUAUUUUAAGUUUACCAAUAAUUUCAAUUUCACGUGUUAUCCAAUUUAUUUUGCUUCGACCAGACGUUUCAAUCUUUGUCGCAACAGACACACAUUUCAGAAUUUCAGACACAUACCAAGAACAUGGAGAAAAAAUUAAUAAGUGCUUCGGAUAUUCAACUAUUAUUAGUUACUAUUUCUAUCAUAAUUUAUUGUAUAUUUGGAUAGAAUCAUUGUUUGUUACUAUUUUAUUCAUAUACUGUAUGUAUAUGUUAGUGUUCAUCCGUGCUGUUCUACAGAAAUUAGGAA